GACGAACGCUGGCGGCGUGCCUAAUACAUGCAAGUAGAACGCUGAAGGAAGGAGCUUGCUCUUUCUGGAUGAGUUGCGAACGGGUGAGUAACGCGUAGGUAACCUGCCUGGUAGCGGGGGAUAACUAUUGGAAACGAUAGCUAAUACCGCAUAAAAUUGAUUAUUGCAUGAUAGUCAAUUAAAAGGUGCAACUGCACCACUACCAGAUGGACCUGCGUUGUAUUAGCUAGUUGGUGGGGUAACGGCUCACCAAGGCGACGAUACAUAGCCGACCUGAGAGGGUGAUCGGCCACACUGGGACUGAGACACGGCCCAGACUCCUACGGGAGGCAGCAGUAGGGAAUCUUCGGCAAUGGACGGAAGUCUGACCGAGCAACGCCGCGUGAGUGAAGAAGGUUUUCGGAUCGUAAAGCUCUGUUGUAAGAGAAGAACGAGUGUGAGAGUGGAAAGUUCACACUGUGACGGUAUCUUACCAGGAAGGGACGGCUAACUACGUG
rnacentral:rRNA from 1 species